rnacentral:rRNA from 1 species
GUCCACGCCCUAAACGAUGGAUACUCGACAUACGCGAUACACUGUGUGUGUCUGAGCGAAAGCAUUAAGUAUCCCACCUGGGAAGUACGACCGCAAGGUUGAAACUCAAAGGAAUUGACGGGGUCCGCACAAGCGGUGGAGCAUGUGGUUUAAUUCGAUGAUACGCGAGGAACCUUACCUGGGCUAGAAUGCGGUUUUGACCGUGGGUGAAAGCUCAUUUUGUAGCAAUACACAGAUCGUAAGGUGCUGCAUGGCUGUCGU